UGGGGAAUUUUGGACAAUGGGCGAAAGCCUGAUCCAGCAAUGCCGCGUGUGUGAAGAAGGCCUUCGGGUUGUAAGGCACUUUUGUCCGGAAAGAAAUCCUUGGCUCUAAUACAGUCGGGGGAUGACGGUACCGGAAGAAUAAGCACCGGCUAACUACGUGCCAGCAGCCGCGGUAAUACGUAGGGUGCAAGCGUUAAUCGGAAUUACUGGGCGUAAAGCGUGCGCAGGCGGUUUGCUAAGACCGAUGUGAAAUCCCCGGGCUCAACCUGGGAACUGCAUUGGUGACUGGCAGGCUAGAGUAUGGCAGAGGGGGGUAGAAUUCCACGUGUAGCAGUGAAAUGCGUAGAGAUGUGGAAGAAUACCGAUGGCGAAGGCAGCCCCCUGGGCCAAUACUGACGCUCAUGCACGAAAGCGUGGGGAGCAAACAGGAUUAGAUACCCUGGUAGUCCACGCCCUAAACGAUGUCAACUAGUUGUUGGGGAUUCAUUUCCUUAGUAACGUAGCUAACGCGUGAAGUUGACCGCCUGGGGAGUACGGUCGCAAGAUUAAAACUUAAAUGAAUUGACGGGGUCAUAGCUGUUUCCU
rnacentral:rRNA from 1 species